AUUGAACGCUGGCGGCAGGCCUAACACAUGCAAGUAGAACGAGUGGCAGAGGGGAGAGUAAUGUCUGGGAAACUGCCUGAUGGAGGGGGAUAACUACUGGAAACGGUAGCUAAUACCGCAUACCAUCGGAUGUGCCCGGAUGGGAUUAGCUAGUAGGUGGGGUAAAGGCUCACCAAGGCGACGAUCCCUAGCCGGCCUGAGAGGGUGAGCAGCCACACUGGACCUGAGACACGGUCCAGACGCCUACGGGAGGCAGAAGUGGGGAGUAUUGCACAAUGGGCGCAAGCCUGAUGCAGCCAUGCCGCGUGUAGGAGGAGGGCCUUCGGGUUGUAAAGUACUUUCAGCGGGGAGGCGUUACCCGCAGAAGAAGCACCGGCUAACUCCGUGCCAGCAGCCGCGGUAAUUC
rnacentral:rRNA from 1 species